CUUUUUUUUGGUUUUUUUUU
rnacentral:sRNA from 1 species